rnacentral:tRNA from 1 species
GGGCCACUAGCUCAACUGGCAGAGCAGCUGACUCUUAAUCAGUUGGUUGUAGGUUCGAGUCCUACGUGGCUCACUA